CCUACGGGAGGCAGCAGUAAGGAAUAUUGGUCAAUGGAGGCAACUCUGAACCAGCCAUGCCGCGUGCAGGAUGACGGCCCUAUGGGUUGUAAACUGCUUUUAUACAAGAGAAAACCCUGGUACGUGUACCAGGUUGAUAGUAUUGUAAGAAUAAGCAUCGGCUAACUUCGUGCCAGCAGCCGCGGUAAGACGAAGGAUGCAAGCGUCAUCCGGAUUCAUUGGGUUUAAAGGGUGCGUAGGCGGACUGAUAAGUCAGUGGUGAAAUCUCUUUGCUUAACAAAGAAGCUGCCAUUGAUACUGUCGGUCUAGAGUAUAGAUGACGUUGGCGGAAUAUGACAUGUAGUGGUGAAAUACUUAGAUAUGUCAUAGAACACCGAUUGCGAAAGGCAGCUAACGAAACUAUAAACUGACGCUGAGGCACGAAAGUGNGGAGUANAACAGAUANAUACCUCGUAGUCGCACCGAACGAAUANAUACUCGUUGUUGGUCGAUAUGACGAGU
rnacentral:rRNA from 1 species